rnacentral:rRNA from 1 species
AGGAAUACCGGUGGCGAAGGCGGCCCCCUGGACAGAUACUGACACUCAGAUGCGAAAGCGUGGGGAGCAAACAGGAUUAGAUACCCUGGUAGUCCACGCCGUAAACGAUGUCUACUUGGAGGUUGUGCCCUAGAGGUGUGGCUUUCGGAGCUAACGCGUUAAGUAGACCGCCUGGGGAGUACGGUCGCAAGAUUAAAACUCAAAUGAAUUGACGGGGGCCCGCACAAGCGGUGGAGCAUGUGGUUUAAUUCGAUGCAACGCGAA